AAUGAACGCUGGCGGCAUGCCUAACACAUGCAAGUCGAACGAGACCAUCGGGGUUACUGGCGCACGGGUGUGUCACGCGUCGGAACCUGCCCUUAGGCUUGGCAUAACUCCCCGUCAGGGGUGCUUAACCCGGCUAAUGUCUUACGAACAACGGUUUAUCGCCAUUGGCUGGGUCCGCGUUGGAUUAGCUAGUUGGCAGGGUAAAAGCCUACCAAGGCGACGUUCCAUAGCUACUCUGGGAAGAUGAUCAGCCACACUGGUACUGAGACACGGACCAGACACCUACAGGAGGCAGCAGUGGUGAAUAUUGGACAGUGGACGAAAGCCUAGUCCAACGAUGCCGCGUGUGUUAUGAAGGCCUUAGGGGUGUAUAGCUCUUUUACCCGGGAUGAUAAUGACGGUACCGGGAGAAUAAGCUCCGGCUAACUCCGUG
rnacentral:rRNA from 1 species